UGGGGAAUUUUGGACAAUGGGCGCAAGCCUGAUCCAGCCAUACCGCGUGAGUGAAGAAGGCCUUCGGGUUGUAAAGCUCUUUCAGACGGAAAGAAACGGUCGCGGCCAAUACCCGCGACUAAUGACGGUACCGUAAGAAGAAGCACCGGCUAACUACGUGCCAGCAGCCGCGGUAAUACGUAGGGUGCGAGCGUUAAUCGGAAUUACUGGGCGUAAAGCGUGCGCAGGCGGUUUGGUAAGACAGAUGUGAAAUCCCCGGGCUUAACCUGGGAACUGCAUUUGUGACUGCCAGACUAGAGUGUAGCAGAGGGGGGUGAAUUCCAUGUGUAGCAGUGAAAUGCGUAGAGAUAUGGAAGAACAUCGAUGGCGAAGGCAGCCCCCUGGGUUAACACUGACGCUCAUGCACGAAAGCGUGGGGAGCAAACAGGAUUAGAUACCCUAGUAGUCCCUGAGCGGGCUGGCAAGGCGCAU
rnacentral:rRNA from 1 species